ensembl:snRNA U6 U6 spliceosomal RNA
GUGCUCACUUCGGCAGCACAUAUACUAAAAUUAGAAUGAUACAGAGAAGAUUAGCAUAGCCCCUGUGCAUGAAUGACAUGAAAAUCUGCGAAGUGUUCCAUAUUUUA